rnacentral:lncRNA from 1 species
AGGCCUUUGGUCUUGUAAUAGAAUCUUCAUAGGAACAGAUGUAUUCUUCUUCUUUUGAUGAAUAUGAAUCAUGCUUUUAAAUAUGUAAAUCAAAGUCUUUAAUAUAUGCUCGGCCCCUGGCUGUAACUAUAAAAUUUAAUUAGAGUAAUAGCUUAAGCGAAUACCUAGCCUGUGUUGUGCUUCAAGCAAGGCAUGAGCUG